GACGAACGCUGGCGGCGUGCUUAACACAUGCAAGUCGAACGGUAAUGCUCUGCUCUUUUGGGGUGCUCGAGUGGCGAACGGGUGAGUUACAAGUGAGUAACCUGCCCUUGACCUUGGUAUAACUUCAGGAAACUGGGGCUAAUCUCGGAUAGGAGCUCCUGCUUCAUGGUUGGGUUUGGUAAGUUUCGGCGGUUGGGGAUGGACUCGCGGCUUUUCAGCUUGUUGGUUUGGUAGUGGCUUACCAAGGCUUUGACGGGUAGCCGGCCUGAGUGGGUGACCGGCCACAUUAGGACUGAGAUACGGCUCAGACUCCUACGGGAGGCAGCAGUGGGGAAAAGUGAGCAAUGGCGUGAAGCCUGAUGCAGUGACGCCGCGUGCGGUAUGACGGCCUUCGGGUUGUAAACCGCUUUCGCCUGUGACGAAGCGUGAGUGACGGUAAUGGGUAAAGAAGCACAGGCUAACUACGUG
rnacentral:rRNA from 1 species